UAGGGUUUUUUGCUUUUUCUACCUUUUUAUGACCUGAUUUCCUCCUUUGUUUCCUUUUAUAUAUCAACUGAAACAUUUCUUUUUUUCCAUUAUUUUUCAUUGAUUUUUACUUUGUAAACCAUGAAAGUUUUGAGUUCUGGCUCUUAUUUUCAAUUCAUUCUCUAAUAUUGACCUCAGUCACCACAUGAAUGAUUAAAAGACCUUAGAACUCUUUCAACCUGAUCAACCCUAGUCUGUUUCACAAACAGACUAGAUUUCAUGAUUUUAGUUCCUUCCUUUUAGCUAAACAUAUUUUAUAUUACUUUUAUCAUUGUAUAAAAAUAACAUUUUGAUUUUCAUACAUUUAUAUAUUUUUUCGUGGCUUAAGCAACAUAAAUCUCUUAUCUCACAAUCAGAACUUAGAAGUCUGAAACCAGGUGUCAGCAAGCUGUUUCCUUCUGAGGGCUGUUGGGGAAGAAUCUGCUCUAGGCCUCUAGGUUUGUAGAUAGCAUUUUCAUGUUCACCUCAAACCCCUGUAUUUUCACGUCUUUACUAUACUACUUUUUUUUUCAGUAUUAUUUCUUGCAACACAGACCGUUCGGGAUUUCUUUUUCUUCCUGAAAUAUAUCAUUUAGAAAUUUCUUUGGGUAGGAAAUAUUAGUAGUAAAAUCAAGCCUACUUCAUUGCAAAAUAUCAUUAUUUUACUUUCAGUAUUAGUAGAUAGUUUUGUUGUGCCAGUGAAUCUAGGUUGAUAGCUGUUUUUUCUGUCAUUCUGAAGAAAUCACUCUACUGUCUUCUGGCUUCCAUUGUUGCUGUUGACAGCUUUUCUGCAGAUCUGUUUGUCUAUGAUGUCAUCUUUAUUGCUGCUACUGGGCUCUUCUUUUCAUCAAAUGUCUCUUGUAAUUUUAGUAUUUAUUAUAAUGUUUCGUACAGAUGAUGGCCUCACCAAGUUUAUAUCUCAUCAAUUCUAGGAUUCAAUUUAAAAGGUUUUCAUAGGCAAUAAGUUUUAGUCAAUAUUAUUGAAAUCUCAAUAUUACAAAAAAGCAAAUUUUCUAAAGAAGGAGUAUUUCCUCUCACAAAAAAAGAGGCCUACUGCUCACUUCAACAGUACAUAUAUUAAAAUUAGAAUGACACAAAGAUUAGUAUGGCCCCUCUGCAAAGAUGACAUGCAAAUUCAUGAAGCAUCCUGUAUGUUUUAUAUAUUUAAAAUUUAUUAAAGGAGUAGAUAGAUAUUAAGUGUUCUUAGCCAAAAAAUAAGCAAUAAAUGAAUAAAAACUACCCCCCCGCAACAAAAAUCUAUCUAUGUCAAGUGAUGUAGAUGUUAAUUACUUUUAUUUUGGGAAUCAUUUUACAAGAUAUACUUAUAUCAAAAUACUGUAUGUAUUGUGCACCUUAAAUAAUUAAGUUUUUUGUCAAUCACACCUGAACAAAGCUGAAAACAAACAAAGCUGAAAAAGUAUGUAAAACUUUUUUUUUUUUUUAAUUUGUCUUAUUGGUGCUAGGUAAAAGAAAAUCUGUGUGGAAUUUUUGUGGCAUUUAUGUAAAACAGGGAAAUCAUUUUGGAGAAAACAAAGACAAUUUUGCAUAAGAAUAAUGUUUUUCCCUUUUUAGUCUUCAAAAUUAAAUAUUAAUGAACUCUUUCUCAAGUUUGAGCAGGUGCUAGGCCAUUUUACUUUGCAAGCAAGAUAGGAGUAACAAAAUAUAAAGAGAGAUUACUGCUUUUCCUGUGAGCCUGCAGGAGGUGUUUCUGGCUUAUUAGUUCUAACUUAAUUAUUACUUCUACUUUUGGGAAACAGGUAAGAUUAAUGUUACAGAAAUAAAUAUUUAAGUGAUCAAAUCAAAUUAUUCACAGAUUUGUAGUUAAAAUUUCACCUUGAAAAUAACAUCUCCAUUUCAAAACAUUGUCUUAAAAAUCUACGACCGG
rnacentral:lncRNA from 1 species